AGGAGGGGGACAACAACUGGAAACGGUUGCUAAUACCCCAUAUGCUUUCGAGUGAAAUGGAUUUUUCCGCCUAGAGAGAAGCUUGCGGCUGAUUAGCUUGUUGGUGAGGUAAUGGCUUACCAAGGCGACGAUCAGUAUCUGGUUUGAGAGGACGAUCAGACACACUGGAACUGAGACACGGUCCAGACUCCUACGGGAGGCAGCAGUGGGGAAUUUUCCGCAAUGGGCGAAAGCCUGACGGAGCAAUACCGCGUGAGGGAUGACGGCCUAUGGGUUGUAAACCUCUUUUUUCAGGGAGGAAUAAAAUGACGUGUACCUGAAGAAUAAGCAUCGGCUAACUCCGUGCCAGCAGCCGCGGUAAUACGGGGGAUGCAAGCGUUAUCCGGAAUUAUUGGGCGUAAAGAGUCUGUAGGUUGUUUAAUAAGUCUGCUGUUAAAUAUUAGAGCUCAACUCUAAAAAAGCAGUAGAAACUAUUAAACUGGAGUAU
rnacentral:rRNA from 1 species